AAGCCGGCGCUGCGGAAGCGGGGUCGGGCGCAGAGGCAGCUGGCCCCCUUGGUGGCAGCGCAGCUGCGAGGUGCGACCCGCCCCCCCCGCCGGCGCCCACCUGUGACGUCAGCCAUCACCGUGAACAUCACAGGUGCAGCAGGAAGUCGUAGAGCUGCCCCGUUUCCCUCCCCCUUCGCCCACAUUUGAGAAAUUGAGAAAAAACAAUCAGGUGCCUAAUCCACUAAUUGAAAGGAUGACCCCCAUUUGAAAAAUAAAUCAAAGGAAUAGAACCUAUGCUGAGUGAGAAGUGCCAACUCAGCAACUGAUUAUGAUUUAAGGAAUCCUGGAAGACUGAAGUGACUGAUUUCAACCUGCGAUGCAUCUGAAACUGCAUUUUUUGCUCAAAUGUUAUAUGUUGGCUGAUCUCGUACGGCAUGCUUUAAACUAGCUUCGCUGGAGGAUGGGGCCACAGGAGGACAUGAGGACACCUCCCAGCCAAAACAGGGGAUGAGCAUAAGAGGUACCCAGUCAGAAAUCCCCAGAAGACAAAAGGACAAAACCCAAUGAAGGAAGCAGCACACUGCACUCUAAGCAGACUAAAGCAAUUCCACACCUCCUCUACACUCCUGGCAUUCAUAGCAAGGAGAAGAAAAUUCAAGAGAAGCAAUGACUUUGAAGCUUAAUGCUCCACCCUUCAGCCACAAAGGAAACUUGAAACUUAAAAGCAAUUAUGUGUAAAGUAAUUCCAGUUGGGGGUCCAAACCAGUGCAUCAGCCAGAUUUUUGCAUAAGUCUUCAAACAAGAAACAACCUAAAUUCAAUUUUUAAACUAAGAUUUUCAAUUAUUUUAAUGUCUUCAUGGAUCUAGGCUAAAAGAUUUGGGUAUGGCAGACUCAGGACCAGAUGCUCCAUCUGCACUGGAAGAACUCCUACCCCCCUGUGAGCAGGAUGGGGACUUCAAGCUUUACAAAAUUCCCUCCACCACAGAAGCCUCUUAGCAUGCAUAAAAAUAAUGUCAGGCUCUGAAGAUCAGAAUGGGGAGAGAGUGCCUGUCACUUCUGCCCUUGCAUUGUGUAGUCUGCCUGUGAACCCUCUGAACAGAAGUUCUUCCAUGAGUUACUGCAGUUUCUAAACUGACAAAAAGAAAAAAAACACAAUUAAGGAAAAAAGGAUCCAAAGACAUGGCAGCUCUCCCCACUCUUACUUCAAGAUAUUCCAACUAGCAUCUUGGCAUCCUCAUGAAAAAUUUCAGAUUUCCCAACAACAGUCCCUUCUACUGACAUGAAGUUGGAAGCCCAUUCCCACCAAGGAAAAAGUAGGAUAGUAUUUCUGAGACUAUCCAUUUGCCAAGAGGAGUGGACAAUCUAUUCUAAGGAUGGGGGGGAAAGGUCAGUUUCUUGUGCUGUUCUUCAUUAUUGCUGGAAGCAAAUAGGCAUCCAAGUAUUUUUUUUAAAGUACUUGGGUAUACUUAAAACCUUCUAAUUUAUUGUUCUCCAAUUACACCACCAAUUUAUUUUUUUUAUUUACAUGCCUCCUUUUUGGAUGUAACGGUCAUAUUUUCUUUGCUCUUGUAGCUUCUCCUGAAGGCAUUUUUAUCCUUAAUAGUUCAACUGACUGGCAUUUUUAUAUUGGACUUUGAAGUCCAAAAUGCUUACAAAAAUAUGUUCUGUUGUGACACUAUGCAUUUCAUAACACAUGCAUUUUCUGACAGUAAUCUCAUUACCAUCCAUUAAUCAUUUUGUUUCAGAGAACAGUGGGUAAAAAGUCUAUAUUUUUAAGCUGCCUUUCAAAGAGCAAAAAUUAGGAAAGUAAACCUAUAUUAACAUGUCUUGCUUUCAUUCAUCAUUUUCCCCAUACACAAAACUAAAAACAGUGCAGCAAUAUGAUUUUAAGGUUCAAAACAAUAGCAGCUAAAAUGUUUCAUUAAAUUACAUGCUUUGUACAAUGCCAAACUAUCAGUAAGCCAUUUUUCACCAGUUAGAUUUAUGAAUAACUUCAACCAUAGAAUUUUUUUGAACAAGCUUUGAUAUUUUAAAGACAAAGUGAAGAGGACACUACAAGUAACACGUUAAAACAAUCUGCAAUGGACAGCUUGCCUUACAAAAUGUACUCGCUACAGAAAUCUUGGGGAGGUUAAUAAUAUGUUAAAUUAUGCUAUGUAGCCUGCCUGGCAACAGGGACCAUUUUCAUUUGCAAUGGAAAUGAGGCAUUCUGUACAAGGUGUCAAAGACAAAAGAGAAAGUUAAAGGACUUUUGAGAAUCA